rnacentral:rRNA from 1 species
AGAGUUUGAUCAUGGCUCAGGAUGAACGCUAGCGGCAGGCCUAAUACAUGCAAGUCGGGCGGCAAGCGGUGUAGCAAUACACUGCCUAGAGCGGCGAACGGGUGCGCAACGCGUAUGCAACCUGGCCCCUACCGGGGGAUAGCCCGCGGAAACGCGGAUUAACACCCCAUGGUGCGUGUUUGCCGCAUGGCGGAUACGCUAAAGGUUACGGUAGGGGAUGGGCAUGCGUGGGAUUAGCUAGUUGGUGGGGCAACGGCCCACCAAGGCGACGAUUCCUAGGGGUUCUGGGAGGAAGGUCCCUGAGAUACGGGCCAGACUCCUACGGGAGGCAGCAGUAGGGAAUAUUGGGCAAUGGGCGGAAGCCUGACCCAGCCAUGCCGCGUGCGGGAAGAAGGCCCUUUGGGUCGUAAACCGCUUUUCCGGGGGAAGAAAAGGCCCGUGCGCGGGACAUUGCCGGUACCCCGGGAAUAAGCACCGGCUAACUCCGUGCCAGCAGCCGCGGUAAUA